rnacentral:rRNA from 1 species
UACGUAGGGUGCAAGCGUUGUCCGGAAUUAUUGGGCGUAAAGAGCUCGUAGGCGGUUUGUCGCGUCUGCUGUGAAAACUCGGGGCUUAACCCUGAGCCUGCAGUGAGUACGGGCAGACUAGAGUGUGGUAGGGGAGAUCGGAAUUCCCGGUGUAGCGGUGAAAUGCGCAGAUAUCGGGAGGAACACCAGUAGCGAAGGCGGCACUCUGGGCCGGUACUGACGCUGAGGAGCGAAAGCGUGGGGAGCGAACAGG